rnacentral:rRNA from 1 species
CCUACGGGAGGCAGCAGCAGGGAAUAUUGCGCAAUGGGCGAAAGCCUGACGCAGUAACGCCGCGUGGGGGAUGAAGGCCUUCGGGUUGUAAACCCCUUUCAGCAGGGACGCGGUACCUGCAGAAGAAGCACCGGCCAACUACGUGCCAGCAGCCGCGGUAACACGUAGGGUGCAAGCGUUGUCCGGAUUCAUUGGGCGUAAAGGGCUAGUAGGCGGCUUAGCAAGUCGGGUGUGAAAACUUCAGGCUCAACCUGGAGCGGCCAUCUGAUACUGCUAGGCUAGAGUCCGGUAGGGGACCACGGAAUUCCUGGUGUAGCGGUGAAAUGCGCAGAUAUCAGGAGGAACACCGAUGGCGAAGGCAGUGGUCUGGGCCGGACUGACGCUGAAUAGCGAAAGCGUGGGUAGCGAACAGGAUUAGAUACCCUUGUAGUC